AGUGAACGCUGGCGGCAGGCCUAACACAUGCAAGUCGAGCGGCAGCGCGUCCGACCACCCUCGGGUGGUCGGAUGGCGGCGAGCGGCGGACGGGUGAGGAAUGCAUCGGAAUCUGCCUCGUUGUGGGGGAUAACGUAGGGAAACUUACGCUAAUACCGCAUACGACCUACGGGUGAAAGUGGGGGACCUUCGGGCCUCACGCGAUGAGAUGAGCCGAUGCCGGAUUAGCUAGUUGGCGGGGUAAAGGCCCACCAAGGCGACGAUCCGUAGCUGGUCUGAGAGGAUGAUCAGCCACACUGGAACUGAGACACGGUCCAGACUCCUACGGGAGGCAGCAGUGGGGAAUAUUGGACAAUGGGGGCAACCCUGAUCCAGCCAUGCCGCGUGUGUGAAGAAGGC
rnacentral:rRNA from 1 species